UGUUCAGUUGUUCAAUUUAAGUUCCUUCACGAAAUAUGCUUACUAAAAAGAAAGUUUGAUAUAGGAAUAUAUAUUAUGCCGCACCAAGUAGUAGACCAAGGAGCUCAGCCUCGGCUCCUAUACUUGCAAAGGCAGCACGUCUCCAACGAUGUUUGGAAAAGAGAGGUAAAUAUAUUUAUAAUAACUUGAGAAUGCCUACCUACUUGAUCAACACUAUCUUGAUAAAUGACAAUUCAAGGACUUUUUUAAAUUUUAACCAGAGAGAAAAAAAAAAAUUUGUUGACGAGAGAUGGAGUAACGUCCAGACUUGGUCUAGGUUGUUGACACCGGCACAAAGGGCCCUUGUUGCUAGAGCAAGGAUAUUGUCCCUUGUAAAUCUACGGCCAUAGAGGGUCGACCACAGCCUAAUUAUUACAAUGGCUGAAAGAUGGUGGCCCGAUACCAAUUCAAUAUACUUUAAUGAUCAUGUCGGUGAGAAGAGGCUUACGCUCCACGAUAUUUGGAUGAUAUUUCGGCUUAAUGUGAUUGGGGACCUCAUCAUUAUAGAAGAUUACCUUCCCUAUCACUCAUAUUUGCAUAGAUGGUUUGGAGCUUCUCUAGGAGGUUCCUUUGAUAAGUUAGUGACUAUCAAAUUCUGUUGAUUGAAGGAGAGAUUUAUGAUAUUGCUACUAAAUGCUACUGAUGAGGUGGUUGAGUGGCACAUGCUCACUUAUUUGUUGUAUUUUGUUGGGAGCACAAUUUUUUUUAACGCGAAGGGCAAUGAGGUGCCCACAAGGUAUCUAAAGCUUUUCGAGGAUUUUGACAUAGCAGGGUGAUAUGCAUGGGGUACUGUGACUCUAACCUAUUUAUUAUGCUGUUUUUAUAAGUUCGUUAUAAAAAAAAAGCCCACUUCAGUGGGUCGGCAACGCUUUUUCAGAGUUGGACAUUUGAAUAUUUUCCCACUUUGCGACCUAGUGAUGAGGUACAAAAGGUUAGAGUUGGCGAGGCACAAGCGAAGCAAUGAAGACCUCCCGCUCCAAAGAAAAACCCUUCAAACAUUAAAGUCUACUACCGUCAGGAGAUCGAUGUCCUUGAUUCGUCAAAGGUUCUAUGGCAACCAUAUAACAUGGAACCAAAUAAUGGCCAAAUGGUUCAGGAUGAGUGGGUACUUUCACCUCCGCAAUGUGCAAUUCUUACCUUAUUUUUUAUAACAUUGCGGAGUGCUAUCUACCAGAGCGAGUUCUACGACAGUUUGGUUUGAAGCAGGGAAUUCCUCCAAAUCCAAAGAAAUGGGGACAAGGAGAGAAGCAUGGUGCGUUAGUGGAUUCAUGGGCACAGGAGUUAGCCCUUAAAAUCCAACUAUGGGAGGAUCGUUAUGAAUGCUGGGCUGGGGGUAAUAAUAUUGAUGCUGAUAUUGAGGAUGGGGUGCCCUCCACAGAGUAUAGGUAAUGUACUCGAGGGUGUUUAGGCCGACUAUUUGGAACCCUACAAUUCCAAGGGGUGUAAUAUAUACCCCAAGAGGAUAUGCUGACAACUUGAACAUGAUUAGCAAGGUGCACUGCACAUUGCAACACCUUAGUUCUACAUUGGAUUCUACUAAUAUGGGGCCCAUCGCUCGAGAGCAUGUAAUAGUUGCAUGUCGAGAGCUGUCUAACCCGAAGGUGCAAGUUGUUGAGAAGGAUGAAGAGGCGGACGAGGAGAAGGCAAACUAGAAGUCAGACGAGGAUGCGGAGGCAGACGAGGAAGCAGGGGCCAAGGAGGCGAAUAGGGAGAAGGAGGCAGACGAAUAGGCAGAGGAGCUGGAGGACGAGGUCCCCUUGCUUGGGCUUAUAGAGGUAGUAGAGGUGGUCCCCCUUACCUGAGCGACGAUUCAACCUGCGAUCACGACCUUGUUAAGGCAUUACAAUUAG